rnacentral:lncRNA from 1 species
UGCCACCACUCCCGGCCCUGUUUUUCUUUUAAAAUCCCAGGUUGCCUACUCAAAAGACUAAAGGCCAGAAAGCUUAUGAAAUGUUAAAUUUUAAAAUAAUUGUUAUUAUAGUGUUUCCAUUUGUGAACAACAUAUAUGUGUGUAUGAAUAAAAUUUAUAAAUGGACAUAACCUUAUACACAAGAUUUAAAAUAACCCCUGGGCACAUGUGGGCCCAACCCAGAGAUAGCCCUUCCUGAAAUGACUGGAGCCAAGAGCCUGUCACGCUCGCGGUAUUCAGUGCAAGGUCUGAUCGCGUCUUCUGUCACUCAAGGCCUGAGGGCGCGGAGCCUGGAGCUCUAUCCAUUAAGGGCGCUGGGGUGGGAACUGUCCAAUCAGGUUCACAGUCAGAGAGGAAGGGGUGGCUCCCGGUACCUGGCGGGGCCUUUGUCUCUUGCUCCAGCCAGAGCUCGAGGUUAGCUCUUCACUGCCCUGUGUCUUCUUUCCAAGGGUCUCGGUGAUUCGGCCACAGCCUCAGCCUCCAUCACGCGGUGAACUGAUGGUGCUGGAAGAUUCAUAGACUCCAGGACAUUCCUGAAGCCGAGAAAAGGUUAAGUAGGGUCUGGCCUGGAAUACUCUCCUAGAUGAAGAUAGCCCAACCAUGAGCCACCUUCGAAGCAGAUGAGAUGAAAUUAAAGCUCUUCAACUCCUAAAGGCCCAGAGACUAUCACAAAAGAGGUCAGAAAUCCUGAAGGUCACUUUCUGACAAACUCAGGAACCCCAGGUUUAUCUUGGAGCCUCAAGAGGAGAUAAAUUCACCCAACUCAGGCUGGAGUGCAGUGGAAUGAUCUUGGCUCACUUCCGUCUCCGCCUUCCAGUUUCAAGUGAUUCUCCUGCCUCAGCCUACUGAGUAGUUGGGAUUACAGGUGCCUGCCACCACACCCAGCUAAUUUUUGUAUUUUUAGUAAAGAUGGGGUUUCACCAUGUUGGCCAGGCUGGUCUCAAACUCCUGACGUCAUGAUCUGCCCGCUUCAGUCUCCCAAAGUGUGAUUACAGAGUGAGGCUGGCUGGGGGAGCCUGGGCUCCUCUGUCCUCCCCGAGGUGGCAGUGGCUGAUGUCUGCUCAGGUGUGAGGGGGUGCUGCCAUCCUCUGGGCCUGAGGCUGCCUGGCCCAGCCCCUCCUAACUCCCUGGACUCUUCCACGGUGUCUUCAGGCCCCUACACCAUCCUUUGUGUAAGGGGAGGUGGCAGCAUAGAGAUGAUGGGGGAACUGCCCCAUGUGCCAAGGAAAGCUCACCCAUCUGUGCGAAAUGCUCUGGUUGACAUUGGGUUUUUGCGCACCAAACUGGGCCAUGACCAAGGUUUAUAACCAAGGUGUCUCCGGGCAUGGGCACUUUGGCUCUUGUAGAAACCACCCCACUGGCAGGAGACGGCGGUAGCUGUGGUCAUUGAAAACAAGCUCCUGCUGAUAAAUCUCAGACACCAGACACAGAAGAACCUGGAGACCCUGCCAGAGAGCUUGAGGCAAAUGGAUGGACUGUUGGAGCAGCUGAGGGUGAAGCAGCACAAACUCCUCAAAGUUGAAUAGCAAAGCAGCCACCAGAGAUGGACAAGAAAAAUGAACAAAGAAAAUUAGCAGAAAUCAAAGGCAGAUGCUAAAGCAGUGCAAAAUCAUUCAUUCAAUGAUAGAAAUGAAAUUGAUGAAGGAGUCUGGAAAAUGAAUGACAGAAGAGAAUUAAACAGCAGUGACCAUAGUAAGGUCCUGACGAUUCUGGUCCACUGAAUCCCAUCAUCCCUAAGACAGUAAAUAUCAUCACAGUCACCACCAGCAAGUUACCACCACAGCAUUUCCUGUUUGUUCCAAAAUGAAUAAAGAUGAUUCUCAUCACAAGGGCAAAUACAAAGUAGUUUAGUAUGUUUUUAACUAAACUAAAGGUGUUUGGUUUACUUUUUCUAAGUUCUCAUAAUUCUGAAAAUGCAGUUGACACUUGUGUGGCUCAUGAUGUUUUUAAUAGUCUAAUGCUACUUGAAUUGUUCAAAAACCACUGUAUUUUAAAUUAAGAUGAAUAAACGGUCCUUUGAAAACUGGCACAAGGCAAGGAUGCCCUCUGUCACCACUCCUAUUCAACACAGUAUUGGAAGUUCUGGCCAGGGCAAUCAGGCAAGGGAAAGCAAUACAGCGUAUCAAAAUAGGAAGAGAGGAAGUCAAAUUGUCUCUGUUUGCAGAUGACAUGAUUGCAUAUUUAGAAAACCCCAUCUUCUCAGCCCAAAACCUCCUUAAGCUGAUAAGCAACUUCAGCAGUCUCAGAAUACAAAAUCAAUGUGCAAAAAAUCACAAGCAUUCCUAUACAUUAAUAACAGACAAACAGAGAGCCAAAUCAUGA